GCUGGCGGCGUGCUANCACAUGCAAGUCGAACGGGAAAACGGGGGCAACCCUGUGAGUACAGUGGCGUACGGGUGAGUAACACGUGACUACCUACCCUCGAGUGGGGGAUAACCCCGGGAAACCGGGGCUAAUACCGCAUAACAUCGCAAGAUCAAAGGAGCAAUUCGCUUGAGGAGGGGGUCGCGGCUGAUUAGCUAGUUGGUGAGGUAACGGCCCACCAAGGCGAUGAUCGGUAGCCGGCCUGAGAGGGCGCACGGCCACACUGGAACUGAAACACGGUCCAGACUCCUACGGGAGGCAGCAGUGGGGAAUUUUGCGCAAUGGGGGAAACCCUGACGCAGCAACGCCGCGUGGAGGAUGAAGUCCCUUGGGACGUAAACUCCUUUCGACCCGGACGAUAAUGACGGUACGGGUGGAAGAAGCACCGGCUAACUUCGUGCCAGCAGCCGCGGUAAUACGAGGGGUGCGAGCGUUGUUCGGAAUUAUUGGGCGUAAAGGGCGCGUAGGCGGUGCGGUAAGUCACCUGUGAAAUCUCCCGGCUCAACUGGGAGCUUGCAGGCGAAACUGCCGUGCUG
rnacentral:rRNA from 1 species